rnacentral:rRNA from 1 species
GUGCCAGCCGCCGCGGUAAUACCGGCAGCCCGAGUGAUGGCCGAUCUUAUUGGGCCUAAAGCGUCCGUAGCUGGCUGCGCAAGUCCGUCGGGAAAUCCACCUGCCCAACAGGUGGGCGUCCGGCGGAAACUGUGUGGCUUGGAACCGGAAGGCUCAGAGGGUACGUCCGGGGUAGGAGUGAAAUCCCGUAAUCCCGGACGGACCGCCGAUGGCGAAAGCACGUCGCGAGAACGGAUCCGACAGUGAGGGACGAAAGCUAGGGUCUCGAACCGGAUUAGAUACCCGGGUAGUCC